AGAGUUUGAUCCUGGCUCAGAUUGAACGCUGGCGGCAGGCCUAACACAUGCAAGUCGAGCGGAUGAGUGGAGCUUGCUCCAUGAUUCAGCGGCGGACGGGUGAGUAAUGCCUAGGAAUCUGCCUGGUAGUGGGGGACAACGUUUCGAAAGGAACGCUAAUACCGCAUACGUCCUACGGGAGAAAGCAGGGGACCUUCGGGCCUUGCGCUAUCAGAUGAGCCUAGGUCGGAUUAGCUAGUUGGUGAGGUAAAGGCUCACCAAGGCGACGAUCCGUAACUGGUCUGAGAGGAUGAUCAGUCACACUGGAACUGAGACACGGUCCAGACUCCUACGGGAGGCAGCAGUGGGGAAUAUUGGACAAUGGGCGAAAGCCUGAUCCAGCCAUGCCGCGUGUGUGAAGAAGGUCUUCGGAUUGUAAAGCACUUUAAGUUGGGAGGAAGGGCAGUAAGCUAAUACCCUGCUGUUUUGACGUUACCGACAGAAUAAGCACCGGCUAACUUCGUGCCAGCAGCCGCGGUAAUACGAAGGGUGCAAGCGUUAAUCGGAAUUGCCGGGCGUAAAGCGCGCGUAGGUGGUUCAGCAAGUUGGAUGUGAAAGCCCCGGGCUCAACCUGGGAACUGCAUCCAAAACUACUGAGCUAGAGUACGGUAGAGGGUGGUGGAAUUUCCUGUGUAGCGGUGAAAUGCGUAGAUAUAGGAAGGAACACCAGUGGCGAAGGCGACCACCUGGACUGAUACUGACACUGAGGUGCGAAAGCGUGGGGAGCAAACAGGAUUAGAUACCCCGGUAGUCC
rnacentral:rRNA from 1 species